rfam:Schistosoma curassoni strain Dakar, Senegal genome assembly, scaffold: SCTD_scaffold0002934
AUCCAACUGACGAGUAUCAAAUAGAAGGAAUCGCGCGUCCUGGAU